CAAACACUGAUCCAGACUUGCCUAACUAGAAAAGCAUCCCCCUCUACUUUCACCUCAGAGACGAGGAAAUGUCAUGGUAAGAGGCAGUACAGAGCCCAGGAGGGCAGGAUGGCCAUCAGCAGCACGUGAGCGGGAGAGGGAGGAGGGUGAGGUGUCGGGGACCCAGAGAGUGACUGUAGGGAGGGAAAGGCACAGUCACGGCUAAGAGGAAAAUGAUGUCUGAUGACCAUGACUGACCAUGACGGAUGAGGACGCAAGACUGGACAGUACUGAGCACCGAGGCAUAGGAAGGCGGGCAUGGCGAAGACGCUGGGAGACAGGGGAGUUAAGCUUCAAAACACUCAAGUGGGCGAGGAACUGGGUGUGGGGCAACAGUAAUGAGCAAGGCUAAGACUCCUCUAAAAUAGAAAGGCACUUUCACAUGUACAUACUACAGAUGUACAUUGACACGAUUAGGUAACAGUCACAAGCAGGAAGCCACCAGUACUGCAACUGAUCAAACCAACAGGGAAGGACAAUACUGAUUUAAUUACGUGGGCAGGAGUUAACUCUUACGUCAAUAGGUAAAUAGCAGUCUCUCCUGUCACACAGCCACUUACUAUACUUUAAACGUCUAUAAUAACCAUCACACUAUACAUCGAACUUGGAUGAAUGUUCUAAAGGGGGGCAUUCACAAAUGCACGGCUUAUAUAUUUUCUUUUACUAAACAGUUUCUAAGAUAAGCAUUAUGGAACCCAGUACAAUUAUUUAAACAUACAAAAUUCCCUACAUAAUUUUAAGAUACAGGUACCAUUUUGAUUAUAAUACAGACUCUAUUUUUUUUUUAAAGAAAGUAUACUAGGGUGGGUAAGUGAAAGCUCAAUUUCCAGUUUGUUUUAUUGAUCUGAACAAAGCUGUGCCAGAGUCACCCUGCUCCACACCUGACACCCCAGCCCAGCUGGAGGUUGGCUUUUAGUUCAGGUGCUAGCCUCCAUUAGGGAGCUCUGUGGGAAGAGUCUUCACUUCUAAGCUGCCCCACAGUUCCAAGUCUCUAUGGGAAGUAACUCAGAGCCAAGACUCAGCCCCCAGCACAUUUCUUGCAUUCAUGGUCUCUCAUUACUGUGGUCAGGAAUGACAUCCCAAAUCUGAAGUCUUCCAAACCCAACAGAACCAUAGGCUCUUAAACUUUGGAUUUCAGAGACUGUAAUUACCAAACUAAAGUUUCUUUACUUCAUAGACCCUAGAGGCUAUGUCUCAUUCCCGAAUACUAAGGAGACCUCCAUGUCCCUGGUUUUUUUUUUUUUUUUCCUUUUUCUUAAUUAAAU
ensembl:lncRNA